CGGCGGACGGGUGAGUAACGCGUGGGUAACCUGCCUCAUACGGGGGGAUAACAGUUGGAAACGGCUGCUAAUACCGCAUAAGCGCACAGUACCGCAUGGUACCGUGUGAAAAACUCCGGUGGUAUGAGAUGGACCCGCGUCUGAUUAGCUAGUUGGUGGGGUAACGGCCUACCAAGGCGACGAUCAGUAGCCGACCUGAGAGGGUGACCGGCCACAUUGGGACUGAGACACGGCCCAA
rnacentral:rRNA from 1 species